AGUGAACGCUGGCGGUAGGCCUAACACAUGCAAGUCGAACGGCAGCACAGUAAGAGCUUGCUCUUACGGGUGGCGAGUGGCGGACGGGUGAGGAAUACAUCGGAAUCUACUUUUUCGUGGGGGAUAACGUAGGGAAACUUACGCUAAUACCGCAUACGACCUACGGGUGAAAGCAGGGGAUCUUCGGACCUUGCGCGAUUGAAUGAGCCGAUGUCGGAUUAGCUAGUUGGCGGGGUAAAGGCCCACCAAGGCGACGAUCCGUAGCUGGUCUGAGAGGAUGAUCAGCCACACUGGAACUGAGACACGGUCCAGACUCCUACGGGAGGCAGCAGUGGGGAAUAUUGGACAAGGGGCGCAAGCCUGAUCCAGCCAUACCGGGGGGGUGAAGAAGGCCUUCGGGUUGUAAAGCCCUUUUGUUGGGAAAAAAAAGCAGCAGGUUAAUACCCCGCUGUUCUGACGGGACCCAAAGAAUAAGCACCGGCUAACUUCGU
rnacentral:rRNA from 1 species